GCCAUGCCGCGUGCAGGAUGACGGUCCUAUGGAUUGUAAACUGCUUUUGCACAGGAAGAAACACUGUAUUCGUGAAUCAGCUUGACGGUACUGUGAGAAUAAGGAUCGGCUAACUCCGUGCCAGCAGCCGCGGUAAUACGGAGGAUCCAAGCGUUAUCCGGAAUCAUUGGGUUUAAAGGGUCCGUAGGCGGUCUAGUAAGUCAGUGGUGAAAGCCCAUCGCUCAACGGUGGAACGGCCAUUGAUACUGCUGGACUUGAAUUACUGGGAAGUAACUAGAAUAUGUAGUGUAGCGGUGAAAUGCUUAGAGAUUACAUGGAAUACCAAUUGCGAAGGCAGGUUACUACCAGUGGAUUGACGCUGAUGGACGAAAGCGUGGGUAGCGAACAGGAUUAGAUACCCUGGUAGUCCACGCCGUAAACGAUGGAUACUAGCUGUUGGAAGCAAUUUCAGUGGCUAAGCGAAAGUGAUAAGUAUCCCACCUGGGGAGUACGUUCGCAAGAAUGAAACUCAAAGGAAUUGACGGGGGCCCGCACAAGCGGUGGAGCAUGUGGUUUAAUUCGAUGAUACGCGAGGAACCUUACCAAGGCUUAAAUGUAGUUUGACCGGUUUGGAAACAGAUCUUUCGC
rnacentral:rRNA from 1 species